GGACAGUGUCUGGUGGGUGCCUUGAUGUGUAGGAUAGGUGGGAGGCUUUGAAGCGUGGACGCCAGUCUGCGUGGAGCCGACCUUGAAAUACCACCCUUUAAUGUUUGAUGUUCUAACGUUGGCCCCUGACCGGGGUUGCGGACAGUGUCUGGUGGGUAGUUUGACUGGGGCGGUCUCCUCCCAAAGCGUAACGGAGGAGCACGAAG
rnacentral:rRNA from 1 species